CCUACGGGUGGCAGCAGUGAGGGAUAUUGGGCAAUGGGGGAAACCCUGAACCAGCAACGCCGCGUGAGGGAAGACGGCUUUCGGCUUGUAAACCUCUGUCCUCUGUGAAGAUAAUGACGGUAGCAGAGGAGGAAGCUCCGGCUAACUACGUGCCAGCAGCCGCGGGAAUAAGUAGGGAGUAAGCGUUGUCCGGCUUUACUGGGUGUAAAGAGUGCGUAGGCGGCCCUGCAAGUCAGAAGUGAAAGCCAUGGGCUUAACCCGUGGACUGCUUUUGAAACUGUAGGGCGUGAGUGAAGUAGAGGCAGGCGGAAUUCCCGGUGUAGCGGUGCAAUGCGUAGAGAUAGGGAGGAACACCAGUGGCGAAGGCGGCCUGCUGGGCUUUAACUGACGCUGAAGCACGAAAGCGUGGGUAGCAAACAGGAUUAGAUACCCGAGUAGUC
rnacentral:rRNA from 1 species